rnacentral:rRNA from 1 species
ACAUUACUAGGGACGCAGCAGUGGGGAAUAUUGCACAAUGGGGGAAACCCUGAUGCAGCGACGCCGCGUGAGUGAAGAAGUAUUUCGGUAUGUAAAGCUCGAUCAGCAGGGAAGAAAAUGACGGUACCUGACUAAGAAGCCCCGGCUAACUACGUGCCAGCAGCCGCGGUAAUACGUAGGGGGCAAGCGUUAUCCGGAUUUACUGGGUGUAAAGGGAGCGUAGGUGGCAUGGUAAGCCAGAAGUGAAAACCCAGGGCUCAACUCUGUG